rnacentral:rRNA from 1 species
ACCGGCGGCUCGAGUGGUGGCCACUAUUACUGGGCUUAAAGCGUUCGUAGCUGGCUUGUUAAGUCUCUGGGGAAAUCUUCCGGCUCAACCGGGAAGUGGCACGGGAUACUGGGAAGCUAGAGAAUGGGAGAGGAUGGUAGAAUUCCAGGUGUAGCGGUGAAAUCCGGAGAUACCUGGGGGACUACCGAUGGCGAAGGCAUCUCACCAGGAUGACUCCGACAGUGAGGAACGAAAGCUGGGGGAGCAAACAG